CGCGAUAAACAUGUCCGCCAUUUUACAACUGUUGCAGAGCAAGCAACGGCAAAUGUUAAAGCAACUUCUUUCCUGCUUUUGGUCUUUUUUAGCAACCCAAGAGAACAGCUCAGAGUCGUCUCCUGUAAUGCCUGAUGAGUUUGGAGAACACCUGACCAGAGAUCAGACACCGUUCCUUCAUGAACCUCUCCAGAUCCUUCAGACUCCUGCUCCAUGUUGUGCUUCUUCUCUUCAGCUCAUAUAUACAUAUAUAACUAUUGUUGGAGGGAGUCUGGGCGCUGUAUAAAGCUGUUGGUGGAUCUGGUCAGUGAAAGCUGAAUGUUGUUGCAUACACAGGUUCCUGCCUCAUUGAAACGGCUGGAGGAAAGGGCUGUCUCUACGUAAUGCCCGUUCAGAACACACCGGACAUCUCCAGAUGAAGAAGUGUCCUCUACCUCCACAGAAAUGAAUCGUGUAGUGGCAAUUUAGGGAAUGAGUGGAUUCACCUUCAGCGGUUAUGAUGCCAAGGUAUCUUGUCCUGUGUGUUCUGCCAUGUGUUCAGAAGACUUUACUGAAGUACCUGUGGGGAAAGAGCUGACGAUAGACCAUACCAAGAUUUGGACAUAAUGGGACAAAAGCAAGACAAGCAAAAGAGCCUUACAGACGCAAUCAACACACACUUAAAGAGGCACCAUUUUCAGCCUCUGUGUCACAAGGGCAGACGUGUUCUCCCGAGGCCUGACGCAGUGGAAGCGGCAGAAGAAGUCCUCUCCGAAGAAUCCCCUCGGAGUCACUUUCAUUGGAGAGUCUGGGAUAGAUAGAGCAGCUCUAAUGAAAUAAUUCCUGACCGCUGUGUUUUUGUCCUCGGAUGCAGCAGCACCAUUGCAUAAAUUAUGCAGUUUUAUCACAUGUAGUCAUCAUCUUCUGAACUAACUUCAGUGCUUCUGUUUAUUAGUACUGGCAAUUUGCUUUUUUCACAGAAAUGAUUUGAGGAAAAAUUCUCUGAGAUCGAAUUCUGUCCAUCUUAUUUUGAAAUUGAAACAAUAAAUAUCGCUGUGGCGCUCGCUGUUUAAUGCAGUGACCGAUCACGCAAUGUGCCUCAGGUCAAGUGAAGCGGCAGCAUGCAGCGCACUGAAAGAUCAUGUCUUCCUCUAUUUUAAUACCAGUUAUGGGCUACAGCGUGAAAUAAACAUGAAUGAGGUGUGUAAACAGAUACAGGACAAUUUACUGACAUUAAUGUGAUCGCUCAAUCAGUGCUUCAGCCAUAUUUCAAAGACGUCACAAACAGCAACAUGUCAUGUUUUUUCUCAUAAAAUCCAUAUUCAGUGACCAUGAACUUGGUAAUAAUCUAGAAAAUUAACUCUGGAGAGGAGCAUUUUGAUAAAUAUAUGCACCAUACUACAGUGGCAUGAAAAAGU